CCCCGGCUCCUACCUGGCGGUUGCGCUCGGGCUCCGGGCACCGCAGGCUGCUGGCGCGCUACAGACGGGCGCUCAUGGGCCCUACGCGCUGGCCGGUUCUCAGCGACGUGGGACAGGAGCCGAGGGCAAGCUGGGGCCGCGACCAGACCCGGCGAUCGGCGGCGGUGGAGGCGACGAGGAAGUCGGGGAUCAAAGAAGCUAAGAGACCUGCCCAAGAUUACAGCGAUAUUAACAGAUAAAAGAGGAAACUGAGUCCAGAUAGGACUGGGAGCAGGCCAGGAGAUGUUCAGAGGAGAAAACUCGAGCCACAGAAUUCUUGGAGACUAGCAUGAAGAUGGGCCCAGGUUGAAGAGACAGAGACGUGCCUGGGAAGAGGCUGGUAGCCAGGAUACAGGAUGCACAUUCCUGCCAGGUUGCCAGUUCCAGUUGUCAUUAAGCUACCUCUGUCAUGGAUUGGACCGUCCACACUCAGGGGGACCCUCCCAGCCCCUUCUUGCCAGAUCAUCCCAGCAACCCUCGUGUGCUUACGAUGCUUACACGUCUACACACACAGGCCCCCUCUAUGGGCUGCUCCUGCCUAGAAUUCAGGGCCACUUGUCACUAGAGGAGUCUCUAAUUGCCAGGUGCCGCCAGGGUUUUGGAGCAGGCAGAGAGGAGGGAGGGGACGGGUUCCUGAGGCAGGGGGCUUGGGAGCUGGGCCGGGGGAAGAGGGAGGGGGCUGGCUCCAGUGCCCUCUCCUCCACUCUGCAGGUGUAAUUAGCCCUGGCAGAUGAAAGGGCGUCUUUGAAAGCGGUUGAGAUCCUUGUCUGUCAGCAGGGCGCUCUGGGUGGCAUCGGCAGCUUAUCCUGAAACCACACACGGCACCAGAGCCGGGCUGUCUGGGCGCUGCCCAGGAGGCAGAGAGGCAGACCCCAAGGGGAGUGUGCCCCUGACUCCCUGUUCCCCCAUAUUUCAGCCCUGGACACACUGUCUCUGUGGGCAGAUGCACCUCAGAACCAGAAGUCCUCCAGAGCUUGGCAAUGCCACUCCCAAUAGGCUGAUGCCCCAUGCCUGGGGCCUGAAGGGACAGGUUGCUCCUUCCCCUCCCCCGCAAAGCUGGACAGGAGGCCAAGGACAAUGGCCCUAGGCAGUCCUUUCAUCCUGAGAUCUCAAAGCGCCAUCUAAUUAACCCCGCCCAGGUUGGGGACUUCCUCUGGAGUCCCUUUGGAGGGGUGUGUCUGGGACCAGCAGUUCCCAGAUCUCAUCUUGGAUAGUAGCCCCAGAAAUACCAGAUAUCCUGUGUUCACCCCGUUUGGGAUCUGGGAGUCUAGGACCGGCAAAGUGUGAGUGCUAACUACAAGCUUUGAAAAGGGGAACCUCAGGGGAAUCUGAGUUUGAGACUCCAGAGUGUGUUGGGGAUAUCCGGAGCUCCUACCCCUCCAGUCACUGACAGGUUAAAGUCAAGCCCAAGGUGUACCUCACAGCCAUGCAGAAUCCAGGAUAUACUAGGUGAGCUUGUGCUGGAUUCCAGUUAUAGAAAGAUCAAAAGUGGGAAAGAAGCAAACCCUAAUCUAUAGUCUUUGAAGUCGGAAUACAGGCCCCUUCUUCUUGGGGGCUUGAGUAACGUGAGGGGCCACCACGGUGCCAUGAGGCCUUGGUAGUACCCUUUGAGUCCAGUGGUGGUUACUAACUGGGUGUGUCCAUUUUGUGAAAAUCUCUCCUGUGGUGUGUGCAUUUGGUAAGGGCAUGGGAGCCAGGUCUCCAAGCAUGCUGAACACGUGUUCUACCACACACUCUACCUCAAGUCCCUCAGUUUCACACUUACAGCUUAACUAGUUGCACAGGUAUGACACUUUUUAUAUGUCAUAGGCCCACAGACAUUUACAUCAAAGGAUUUUUACAGGUCUAGCCAAGACUGCUAUGAUUCCUUAAAGGUGCUCUUCUCCCCAUCACUUUCUGUGAGGCCAAAUGGGAGGAAAAGUGAGGGGCAGGUGUCGGGGAUCAAAUUCCAGGCACAGGGCAAGCGUGAACUUUUCCUUUUCCAUUGAGCUGCAAUGUCAGCCCAAGGACAGCUUCAAUUUCUUCUUUCUCCUCCUUCCUUUUUUUCUUCUCGUUCUCCUUCUCUUUCUUCCCCCUUUAUUUCUUUUAAUUAAAAAAAGAAAAAAAGUAUAGCUGG